CACUCAAAUAAAAUAUCUGAUUAUUAUUUUUAUUAAUAACUAAUUUAUAUACUUUAUUAUGAUGAUGAUUUACACUCUAGUCUUUUAAAACCAUCUCUGGAUUACCUUUUAUUGGUGGAUGCUGAAUUUAUCCUUAAUCCUACCAUAGUGAUCGUUUCAAGUAAGUUUGUGAAAUUUAAAGUCUAUUAUAUGAAGAGGAGAAGGUGGGCUAUUAAGGAUUUGGAAACAAGAAUUAUCUUGCAAAGCUUAAUAUUUUAUACAUUAGCUUGUCUAAUUAUGGAUAUAAAGAAUAGAGCCCUAAAAUAGAUUAUGCCUACACAUGCAAAAUGAUUUAGAAUUGACGCAACAACCCUGUAUAAUUCAGGCUGAAAUAACAAUGUCGAUUUUAGAUAUUCUAAUAAGUAAAGCAAAGGUGGGCUCCUAUUUCUUGGAUUGGCUUCAUUUGCUCCAUCAUUUUCUGCAUGUAGACAUAAUUGAAGAGUGCUUCGAAAUUUACACUUGGCAGAGAAAAUGAGCCUCCCUGGACAUUUACUUUCUUUGUAAGGAGAUGAAAGUUAUGAUUUCAUUAUCUAUUGAGGAGAAGGAAAACAUGAAGGUAGAUGUUGGAUGGUGAAAUGAAAUAAACCUCUUAAUGGACUACCUUUUCAUAUUUUACUCUAUCUGUAAAAUAUACAACCAAAGCUUUGAACAUGCUAAUGAAUACAGCUGUUGUUGCAGAGUCUUUUUUCUUUUUUUGUAGGGAUGACGGAGCCUAGUUUUCACUAGCGUAAAGGUAACCCUAGAAGUGAUGAUAAACUGAUAGAAAAUUCUCAAAGAGGUUUCUUCCACAGAAAGUUCCAAUGAAACCCUUUUCCCCAAGAAUUUCCUUAGCAUCUCAGCCUAUUCCUUUCUCUCUGUUUAGCCUGAAACCACCACAUGAUACAUUUAAUCUUUUUAGUUUUUAAUCUAUGAGGAGAGUUUCAUUUUGCCAUAAGAUUAAUUAUUCUUUCAAAAAUUUAUAAUCUGAGGAAGACACAGGAAUGGAAUUUCCUAUUUCUUUUUCAGAAAAAAGAUUCUAAAGCAGGAACAGAUUGGCAGUUCCUUGGUACUGCCAUGUGACAUCCUGACAGUCACUUCUUUGGGGGCAUUUAUUAAUCAGAAGCAAGACCAGUGAAAGAUACCUUCGUCUGAUCAUUGUCUUCUUCAGAGAAGCUAAACGAACUCAGUGUCUGAUUCAUUUUGGAGAUGAACGUGAGAAAGGACACUAACACCCUUCCCCUCCUUGGCAAGCCCACUGCUGAGCCCCAAACUGCUAAGCCCACUUGAUCUCAUUGAAUGACACUGUGAAAUAAGUAUUAUUAUUCCCAUGUACAAAUUUGAACAAGUGAUUUAACCUCUCUGAGUCUCAGCCAAAAUGAGAGAGCGAGAAGGAUUAAACUUGUUCUGUCUAGCUCCAAAACGUGCCUAGAAGCAAGCUUUACACGCAGAGACAGGAAACACCAUCCAACGGAAAACACAAAAAGCAGAAAUCAUAAAAGAAAAGACUGAUGGGUACAGCUACUUCAAAAAAAGAAAAGGAAAAAAAUGUGCAUGGCAAGAAAAAAGACAUCACGAGGUUGAAAGACAAGUGACAAAGUGGGAAGAUAUUUGUAUAUAUAAGAGAAAAAAUUAAUAUCCAACAGAAAAAUGAUUCUUAUAAAUCAAUUAGUAAAACAUAAAAACCUCAUGGGGGAAAAGGGAAAAAGAUAAAAACAAUCAAUUCUUUAAAGAUAAAAUAUAAAUAGCUAAUAAAUGUAUGUAAGGAUAUUCAAGCUACUCAAUAACGAAGAUGGUCAGAGUGAUAAAGAUUAAAAAGACAAACAAAACCCUCUGUUCACAAGCGUUUGAGGAAAUGGAAAUUUUUGUAUACUUUUGGAGAAAUUAUAAGUGGAUACAAUCUACUAAGAGAUGGUCUGUCAAUGUAUAUGAAAACUUUAAAUAUGUUUGCCUUUGAGAUGAUCAUUUCACAUUUAGAAUUCAAUCUGAAGGAUAAUGGUAGAAAAAUUCACUAGAAGUACAGGGAAAUUAGUUACAGUAAUAUUGAUAAGAGCCACACAAAACAAGUUCAUCAAAAAGCAACUGGUCGAACUAUAACGGCCCAAUAGUGGAUUCCAGUAUUGAAAAUGAUGCUUGAUGCUCAUACAUUUUUCACUUUCAUCUUUCUUUCUAUUCUGAGUUGUCUAUUCAUACACAUUUUCUCCAAAAAUCAGGGAUAAGAAACUACAGUUUUCAAACCCUUUAAUACAUCUAGCACUUUGCAAUUUACAAAGCCCUUUUCCAUAUUGUAUUCCAUAGUAAAAACUUGGUCUCCAGUCCAGUGAAGCUAGAGUUUCACAUGGUUUCAUGCCAAAAACCAUAAUUUCUCUUUGCCUGUGAAUUUCUUUUAAUUACUUCAAAAAAAUGGAAGUAGACAGGUUACUCAAAUUCACCCAGAUGUUUGAGUUCAGCAACCAUAAUCAGAAGGAGCGAGAAAAUGUGGUUUUCUUUUAUUUCGUUCCCCUUGAGCUUCUUCAAGACCCUUUGAAAGGACAGCUGCUUAUUUCAGGCAACCGCUCUGCUUAAUGUAUGAAGAGAGGAGAUCCGCUCCUGAAGUGCGGCUGUUUUCAGGACCCAGGGAACUGAAAUUUUCAGCGUCUCCCCCAGCUCUGCGGGGCGGGCCUUUCAUGUGAGCAGGAAGGAAAUGGCUGACAACUUUCUCGUCUUUAUGGAAGGCGGACUUUAUUUCCAGCUCUCGGGUCAAAAGGCGGCGGAAAGAAAACAAAACCACUAAGAGAUAAAGGCUAAAAAUAAUGUCCUGUGGGGUGAAUCAACACAGUUUGGGACCCUGAAGACAGCAACAAGGCAAGGAUGUGCGUACAGCUAAAUCUGCGUCAUCCUUAACAGGUGGUCGUGACCAGAAUCAAAAUGCCUGGACGAGAGAGGAAAGGGGCUCUGCAAACAGGCCCAGUCACAGUAGCCACAUUUGAUUAUGAACAGAGCAGCCUCUCGUGAUGACACCUAUCACGCACCCAGGAUGGGCCAUGCAGCCCAGGUAGGACAUACCACGUGUCCAUCGUCUUGAGAGAUUUCUCUUAGCACUUAGCUCUGGCUUUUUAAAUGCUUCUCUUAACCUGCAGAGUCAAAUGGCUCUUAGUUUUAUCUUUUUAAUGCACUGCCUCCCAACUCUUUCGGGAAUCCUCCAUUUCAGUCACUUGUUGCUCAGGCUACUGUUUUGCUGCUUAAAGACCCUCUGGGACCCCUCUGCUCUCUGAAAUUUCCUCUGCUGGUCCUUUGCACCAGCAUCUCUUUUUCACAAUUAACAAACCUUUUUGUAGAUUUCCUAAGCACUUAGAGCACUGCUGCUCAUAAAUGAGGAUUAACAACGACAACAAAAGCUAUGCUUUUUUAUUUCCUCCAGUUUACUAGGUUUCUCCGUAGUGGAAUGACAGCAUCAAUAAUUCAUAAUGAUUCUCCAAGUAAACGAAUAAUGCAAACCACACUAAUAAAACACUGUAAGUCUAGAACUGCACUAAUGACCACAGAGUGGUUACAAAAUUAAUGAUCUCCCUGAACUCUUCAUCCAAAAACAUCCCGCAGCACUUUAUGGUUUUAAGAUAUCAAGAAGCCUUUGCUCUCUUCACAACCAAUUUGCUGCCUGCUCCCAGAGAACACAAAUGGCCAGGAGAGGAAGUGUGUGCUUCAAACUGGAAAAUUACAAAUAUGUGAACCAGCUUUUGAAAUUCCCCUUUGCACUGGACUAGAGCCAAGACACCAAGUCUUACACUUCCAGCCAUGCAUGAAAGAUGUUUGGGGAUUUUUCUCAUCCAAGACCCCCAGGACUUUCUCAUGUUGAUUUCCAGGGGACAAGGCACUGAGUAAAAGCAUAUCUUGCCACAA